CCUACGGGGGGCAGCAGUGAGGAAUAUUGGUCAAUGGCCGGAAGGCUGAACCAGCCAUGCCGCGUGAAGGUCAGUGCCCUAUGGGCGUUAAACUUCUUUUGUGCGGGAGCAAUAAUGGUCACGUGUGGCCAGACGAGAGUACCGUACGAAUAAGCAUCGGCUAACUCCGUGCCAGCAGCCGCGGUAAUACGGGGGAUGCAAGCGUUAUCCGGCUUUAUUGGGUUUAAAGGGUGCGUAGGCUGUGAGGUAAGUCAGCGGUGAAAUGCCCCCGCUCAACGGGGUGAAGUGCCAUUGAUACUGCCUGGCUGGAAUGCGGAUGCGGUGGGAGGAAUGUGUGGUGUAGCGGUGAAAUGCAUAGAUAUCACACAGAACACCGAUUGCGAAGGCAUCUCACGAAUCCGCGAUUGACGCUGAUGCACGAAAGCGUGGGUAUCAAACAGGAUUAGAUACCCCUGUAGUC
rnacentral:rRNA from 1 species